rnacentral:misc_RNA from 1 species
UUAAACGAUUUAUAUUUAUACUCAGGCAACAUAAUUAUGAAAGAAUUUAAUAAGGCUACUGGCGAGCACUGACCAGGGGCAUAAAAGCCCCCGGCGGCCCCGAAAAGCGGGCCCACCAAAGCAACAUGGUAUAGUAAACAAAGGGCUGGAGAUCGGGCCUAUAAGACCCUAACUCGGUAAUGAUCCUUCCGCAGGUUCACCUACGGAAA